rnacentral:rRNA from 1 species
GACGAACGCUGGCGGCGCGCUUAACACAUGCAAGUCGAACGGAAAGGCCCUGCUUUUGUGGGGUGCUCGAGUGGCGAACGGGUGAGUAACACGAGAGUAACCUGCCCUUGACUUUGGGAUAACUCCAGGAAACUGGGGCUAAUACCGGACAGGAGCCCCUGCUGCACGGUGGGGGUUGGAAAGUUUCGGCGGCUGGGGAUGGACUCGCGGCUCAUCAGCUUGUUGGUGGGGCAGUGGCCUACCAAGGCUUUGACGGGUAGCCGGCCUGAGAGGGUGACCGGCCCCAUUGGGACUGGGGUACGGCCCAGGCUCCUACGGGAGGCAGCAGUGGGGAGUAUUGCACAAUGGGCGGAAGCCUGAUGCAGCAACGCCGCGUGCGGGAUGACGGCCUUCGGGUUGUAAACCGCUUUCGCCUGUGACGAAGCGUGAGUGCCGGUAAUGGGUACAGAAGCACCGGCUAACUACGUG